GACGAACGCUGGCGGCGUGCUUAACACAUGCAAGUCGAACGGAAAGGCCCUGCGUUUGUUGGGUGCUCGAGUGGCGAACGGGUGAGUAACACGUGAGUAACCUGCCCUUGACUUUGGGAUAACUUCAGGAAACUGGGGCUAAUACCGGAUAUGAUCUCCUGCUGCAUGGGGGGGGUUGGAAAGUGUCGGCGGUUGGGGAUGGACUCGCGGCUUAUCAGCUUGUUGGUGAGGUAGUGGCUUACCAAGGCUUUGACGGGUAGCCGGCCUGAGAGGGUGACCGGCCACAUUGGGACUGAGAUACGGCCCAGACUCCUACGGGAGGCAGCAGUGGGGAAUAUUGCACAAUGGGCGGAAGCCUGAUGCAGCAACGCCGCGUGCGGGAUGACGGCCUUCGGGUUGUAAACCGCUUUCGCCUGUGACGAAGCGUGAGUGGCGGUAAUGGGUAAAGAAGCACCGGCUAACUACGUG
rnacentral:rRNA from 1 species